UUCACCCAGGAGCACCUGUAGGUAUCCUUCCCUUGACAAGAGGGCUGAGUGGGGGAGCUGAUGGACAGCUAAUGGCCUGUAUUCUGUAUGCAUGGAUUCAAAUCCCAUCUCAGCUGUCACUUCUUCCACUGAUGGUCAUUCCGGGGCUUCAGCUGUGAUUAUCCUCACAAACGAAAAGCAGAGGGAGGCCCCGGGCCCAAGAGUGAGGCUAUCCUGAAGUUAUUUCUACAGUUUGCUUCCUGCUGAGGAUCCAAGAUGAUGCCAAUGCCAGCCAUCAUUUCUCUUCUUCUGCCACUAAAACAGAAUCUGAGGUGAAAACUUCAUCCGGUGAUGCUGCCUGUACAUCCUAGAAGAGCAAAAGGUGGAAGGAGACCUGCGCCAGCCGGGACUCGAACCCGGGUCGCAAGGAAUCCGGGAUCAAAAUUUCAUCCGGUGAUGCUGCCUGUACAUCCUAGAAGGGCAAAAGAUGGAAGGAGACCUGCGCCAGCAGGGACUCGAACCCGGGUCGCAAGAUUGGGAACCCUGCAUGAUGCCCCUACACCACUGGCACAGCUGUUGAGAGUCUGUCUCAAGAGAAGUAAUAUUUAUAUAUCCAGGGAUUCUCUUUUGCCAUCUGAUGGCGGGAGAGAGGAACAUACUGGGUCUUGGGACCAAGGUAUCUGCUGUCUAACCAGCCCAGCUAAGGAUGCUCAGGUGGGGGGAGCCGAGAGGGAGGCCUGUGCCAGGUCUCUGUGGCGCAAUGGGUUAGCGCGUCUGGCUGUUAAUCAGAAGGAUGGUGGUUCGAGCCCACCCAGGGACGGCCUGUUUUCUCCGAUUCAGAGCAAAGGUGAUGGAUUGAAUGCUGCACCCAACUCUUCAUCUUUAAGUUUCAAUUCUCACCCUGUUGUUCCUUUUUCUCACUAAAUAUUUGCAUUUUUUUUUUUUUACUCUCCAGGGUGCAGAAGGAAGAUCAAGGCAGACUUAUUCACAAUCAGUGACUAAAGGGAAAGGGGGAGGAAUCGCCCCACUGUGUCCUGAGCUUCUUCCUUGCGACGGAGAAGUGCUGGAGCGGCAUAAGGCAGCCCAAGCGGUCCUCAGUGGGAGCUCUCCAGGGUCCUGAAACAGCUGCCUGUUGCAAAGAUUAGGCCACCUGCAUGUUACCUCUAGGAAGGCAAAAGGGAGGAGGAGGACGUGCAGCAGCCGAUACUCAGAACUGACUGACGCAAACUUAACAAUUAAAUGCCUCCUCAAUUUCUGAGAUUGUUUGCCUACCGAGUAAAAUAUGUAGGUCGGUUAUGAAGCAGAAGCAUUUAACACAGAGGGCCAAGAGAUGUGCAGCUGCCAGCAUGGAAAAAUGAGAGAAUGAAACUGUACUACUCCCGAAACAUCACUGGUAUUCUUCUCCUGGAUUCAGCAACUUCACUCCUUACCAAGGAGACAAAUCUGUUUCUGAGCUACACCGUUCCAGAUGCUGUGGCCCGAAUGAAGGCCAACUUCUCAAGAGCCGUGGUGGUUAGAAUGCAAGCAUUGCGGGUUAAUUCUGCCGAUUGCCAGCAGUUCGAUUCUCACCAGCUCAAAGUUGUAUCAACCGUCCCAUUGACAUAUGCAGAACCGUCUCAUUGAUAUGAAAAAAAACUCCUGGGACAUAAUUUUACUAACAGUAUAACUUUACUGAUAGGCAUGGAAGAAGCAAAGCCAAUUCUAAAGGUUCCCACAGAAAGCGGCACAGGCAAAUUCCCCCUUUCGGCCAUCCACCGUCCAUUGUCCACCAAUCCAAUGAAUUCUUUUGUGUUUUGGGAAAUAGUCUGUGUCAUUUGAA